AUUCUUAUCUGGUGCCGGGGCCUCGGUGAUCACCGAGGACGAGCCACCGCGACGAGGCGCGGACAUUGCACUGCGUUCGCAUUGACCCCUGCACUACUCCAAACUGGGGCAGAUGGGCAUGUAAAUUAC
rnacentral:snRNA from 1 species